CCCGCGGCGCUCCCCUCCCUUGCCUCCCCCCCGCCCCCGGCCCUGCCCCCAGCCCGGGAGCCACCGCUUCCCCGGAGGGCGGGCAGGGGGACGUGGGGACCGCCCGGCGCUGCCGUGCGGCGUAGCGGGAUGCGGGUGGGCGGCGAGUGUGCCCAGGGGCGCGCGCGAGUGCCCGCCAGCCUGGAGACCGAGGCGCGGGCGUGGAGGGCGGCGGAGGCUCCGGUGUGUGUGUGUGUUUGGGGUUUAUCACCGUGCUGGAGCGCCUAGAAGUGCGGCCACGUGGAUUUAGGUAUUCGCGUCCACCUCAGAGCCUGCUCCCUCUGAAGUCUUCUGUAUUCUUCUAACAACCCUAGAAAUUCUUCAACCCGGAGCUGUGUACUCAACAGGCAGACGGCUCAGUCUGUGUAUGUUGUCUAAGUGUCUGGAAUGUACACCUGGUUCCUCUCCACUGGCACCCACAAUUUAAGAAAGUAAAUAGAUGCUUUCAAGGAGGAACAUGGGCACACCAGGAUCAGGAGCUACUGUAGACAUUUCCAUCUAUUUUGGGGUUCUGUUUGAUAUGAGAAACCGAUUGCUCAGAUGUCUUCCUUGGAAAGACCCUUCAUUAAAAGAAAGACUCCACCACCAGAUGUCUGCUAUUAAAUUUCAACUAAUCAGUCCUAACUCGACUCUGCCACUGACUCUCUUCAUGGGUGAAAACUAGUAUCUAAUUUUUGGUAGCUCACUGAGCAAUUUUUGGCAAAGUAACCACUCAAGCCAUGCUUCCAUUUGCCUGCUGUUGUCCUCGUGGAAUGUUUCUCCAGUCUCACUGAUGUGUUCAUUAAUGUCAGUGUUCAUGUUCAAUGGUGGUGAUUGGAGAAGACAGGGAACAAGAACCAGGAAGAAGAAGAGGCGCUGACAGGGAUGGCCCCGCUCAUAGGAGCAGUAGAAUAAUGCUGCAGUUUACUAGUUGGGGUUAGUAAUGUCCUCAUUUUCCCUCUCACUCUGAAUCUUUGCCCUGGAUAAGGGGGAGUUGAAUUUAGCUUUAAGAAGGGAUUAGUAAGAAGAGAAUGUGAAUGUUGGUUUGACAGGUGGGGUGGGGGAGGCCACUAAAGCCCAGGGGCCAACAGCCACGCUAGUACUUGGUUUUCCUCCAUGUUCAAAACCCAGCACUAGUAGGUUUCCAUUCUAAAAAAACUUAUAACAAAAAGUAAGCCAUUUGAGUGUGAAUGUUACUAACAACGUGGUGGUGAGGAUAUUUGGUUUAGAAUUUUAUCUCUUUUUUAAAGCUGAGGCUGUGUUUAAAAUUUCAUCGGUGAUUUCCUUUUAUUUACACAUUAGAAUUAUUGAGAAUUUUUAAUAAAACUACAAAUGACAGAAAGCUAACCUGGA